rnacentral:lncRNA from 1 species
CUGAAAGGAAACAGCCAGGCCGCUCUUCCUGCAUCCGGGAAAUUGAGGUUGUCAGAGCCAUUUGUGACGUAAGCGGUCCUGCAUCCGGGGACUCAGGCCGGCCGUUAGGAGCAGCCAUCAGGGUGCCGGUUUAUGCCACGCAUUCUGAGUCCAGAAAUGUGAGCCUGUCAAGUCUGGAGUACAGCCGGAGCCCAGAAGGUACCUGUCAUCUGCAUCAAAGGAGGUAUCAGUUUUGACCAGGAAUCCAGAAUAGCCUCUUGCCUUAAGAACCUGGACAGUAAACAUGCGUGGAACCUGGUAGACCAAACCAUCCUUCAAGGUGAGAAUCGGGCUGGUGUACUGUUUUAGCACAAAUGAACCACACUGAAUUGAGCUACUUCUUUAAGUGACUCCUAAACAGGUAUAACGGGUGGAAGGUGCCCUCACUACCUUCUGCUUCACCUCUGAGUCACAGAAACUUGCUCUGAGAAUUUAGCUCAGGCAAGAGGAGGAAUGCACAGGGGGAGCCAUGUCUAUUCUUCCUUGAGGCCAUCAGAGGCACAUGCAGGAACUUUGUCCCUUGGCCUUAGAGCAUCCCCGAAGUGAAAUCCUGUAACCUGGGGUUUUGUGAGCUGCCCAAGGCACAGCUUUCACAGUCUGCUCACUCCUUCCCUUUCUCUCUCAGACCUGUGAGUUCAUCCCUGUCAGCUGCACAUUUUCCUGCAUC